CGGACGGGUGAGUAACGCGUGAGAAUCUAGCUUCAGGUUGGGGACAACCACUGGAAACGGUGGCUAAUACCGAAUAAGCCGWAAGGUGAAAGAUUAAUUGCCUGGAGAUGAGCUCGCGUCUGAUUAGCUAGUUGGUAGGGUAAAGGCCUACCAAGGCAUCGAUCAGUAGCUGGUCUGAGAGGACGAUCAGCCACACUGGGACUGAGACACGGCCCAGACUCCUACGGGAGGCAGCAGUGGGGAAUUUUCCGCAAUGGGCGAAAGCCUGACGGAGCAAUACCGCGUGAGGGAGGAAGGCUCUUGGGUCGUAAACCUCUUUUCUCAGGGAAGAACAAAAUGACGGUACCUGAGGAAUAAGCAUCGGCUAACUCCGUGCCAGCAGCCGCGGUAAUACGGAGGAUGCAAGCGUUAUCCGGAAUGAUUGGGCGUAAAGCGUCCGCAGGUGGCAGUGUAAGUCUGCUGUCAAAGGUCAGGGCUUAACYCUGAACAGGCAGUGGAAACUACACAGCUAGAGUGCGGUGGGGGCAGAGGGAAUUCCCAGUGUAGCGGUGAAAUGCGUAGAGAUUGGGAAGAACACCGGUGGCGAAAGCGCUCUGCUAGGCCGUAACUGACACUCAUGGACGAAAGCUAGGGGAGCGAAUGGGAUUAGAUACCCCAGUAGUC
rnacentral:rRNA from 1 species